GCAGUCUUAGUUCAGUUCAGUAGAACGUGGGUCUCCAAAACUCGAUGUCGUAGGUUCAAAUCCUAUAGACCAUU
rnacentral:tRNA from 1 species